rnacentral:rRNA from 2 species
CAAGUCACUACUGCACUGAGGCGCUAGUUAUAGCGCGUUCCCUUCGGGGACAAGGUGACAGGUGGUGCAUGGUUGUCGUCAGCUCGUGUCGUGAGAUGUUGGGUUAAGUCCCGCAACGAGCGCAACCCUUAUUAUUAGUUGCCAGCAUUCAGUUGGGCACUCUAGUGAGACUGCCGGUGAUAAACCGGAGGAAGGUGGGGAUGACGUCAAAUCAUCAUGCCCCUUAUGACCUGGGCUACACACGUGCUACAAUGGCAUAUACAACGAGUCGCUAACCCGCGAGGGUACGCUAAUCUCUUAAAGUAUGUCUCAGUUCGGAUUGUAGGCUGCAACUCGCCUACAUGAAGUCGGAAUCGCUAGUAAUCGCGGAUCAGAACGCCGCGGUGAAUACGUUCCCGGGUCUUGUACACACCGAG